GUGGUAGCGUGUUUGCCUGUUAACCAAAAGUUGCAGGAACAAAUCUUAAUGUAU
rnacentral:tRNA from 12 species